rnacentral:misc_RNA from 1 species
UGUGCCGAUUGCGCUCCCACACUCGUUCGCUCUACUUUGUGACGUUUCCUCUCCCCCUCACCGCCCCCCUCCAAACACACACACACACACACACACACACACACACCCUUUCCCUUUUUCUUCUGGCAGCAACACGCUGCCGCUCUGUUCGUUCAACAGGUCUCUCCACACAUCGUACCGCCACUUCUAAUACUCCUCAUACUCUUUCCAUCAUUGCUAACGCUUCGGUUCCGUCUCUGUUCCUCCACUCCUUUGCAUACCCCACGAACACCACAUAACGAUGUCCCGCCGUGAGAGCUGUAUCUGGCACCCGAUGCCCGAGGAGGUGCGCCGUUCCUCCGUCCAGUCGCGCCGCGCGUCGCUGGCAGCCGGUCGUCGCAAGAGCUUGAACGUGAGCGGGCCUGACUGGGACGUGGAGGCCCCGCCGACCCCGUACUACGGCGACUACAGCGCGCGUGGGAACGCGGCGGAGGCGCACACCUCGCGCGAGGCCGCUGCGCCACUGGCGGAGCCCUCCAAGAAGUUGCAGCAGGCCGAUGAGGCGGCUUGCGGGGAGGCAUCACCGGGCACGGUUGUGGUUUCGUCGAAGCCGAUGGAAGACGAGGCGGCCUUCCGCAUAAGUCGCACUCGCCACACGGUGCGCUUCCAUGGCGAAAAGUGGGCGAAGGUGCUUCGCAAGCGCCACGCCGAGAUCGCGGCAUGCUUCAUGGAGGACCUCAAGGACGGCGCGUCUGUCAUGGCCGAUGAGGCGAAGCGGCUCAAGAUCAGAAUGAGCGACUGUAUGGAGGUGACGUUCGUCACGUACAGCGGCAGCCGUGCACGCCAAAAAGCGAUCCACCUGGCGCUCCAGAAUUACAGCUUCCCCAAGACUUGCCAGCGGUACACGAGCUUUGAGGCGUGAGGUGCAGGCAGGCGGCCGCGCGCACAAGCGCACACGCGCACGCACUUUUAUCCCCGUUGUGCUUGCGUGUCUCUCUCGCUCGCUUCUCCCCCCCCCCCCCCCCCCCGGUGUCGCCACACGCCCGCAACGGGGCGAUGGAAAGAGAGGGGCGAGAGGGAGGGAGAGAGACACGCAAGAAGAGGCUCACACCUGGCCCACCGCAACACAUGACCACGUGAGUGCCCGGCGGUAAUUUCAGCUACCCCACCCACCUACCCGCUGACACACCGAAGGAGAAGACUGAGCACAAGGACCCCUCGCCGUGUGCGGCGCGAAAAGGAAACCACGCUCAGCCCUCCAUUGCGCCGCGUCAGAGCAAGGCGAGCACCCGAAGCAGAAAAAGAAAACAAAGACAAAAACAACGGCGACGAUUGGGCACGUGCGUGCGGCAGUGGGGAGGUGGCGGUGGUCGCGGGGAAGACGAAGCGAACAGCGGCCGGGUGGCGAAAGAUGGGUGCGUGACCACGGCAACGAAGCGGGCGCGUGUGGGGGCCGGUAGAUUGGAGGUGCGGUGAGGGUGAUGGAUGGAGAGAAAAUGACGACAGAGGAGGUGGCGGCAACUUCGGCGGAGGAGACAGAGAAGGAGCGAGAAAGGAAAAAGAAGAAGCCCUAAAAGGAGAAGCGAAGCGAAGCGCGUGUCAAGCAGCGCGUACCUGUGACAUGCGGAAGCGCUUCUAUUCGGGACUGUGGUAUGGCAACUCUUCCAUACGCCUCCCGGCCCGCUUCUAUUUUCUGCGGUGCUUUUUUUUGUCUAGUGUGUCUCUUCCAAUCUUUUACGCGCGCACACACAUAUAUGUAAGCAUACACGUAUAUAUAUAUACAUAUAUAUAUUAAGCAUAUAAACAUAGAUGUGUACAUACAUGUAUGUUUAUGUGUAUACACACAUUCUCUCUGUUUCGCCCUCAUGCCGACGAAUGCGUCUACCUGCGUGUGCACGUCGCCUUUCCUUCACUCUCUUGCAGCCCCAGUACACACAAAAACACACACCUUCGCUGUCUGUAUUGAUAUUUUUUGCUGUAGCGUGGAUUCUUUUCCCUUUUCUUUUCCUUCUUUUCCUCUUCACCUUCGCUUGCUACGUCGCCCUGUGAUGCCGAUUCCGCAUCCCUUUCCUUUUUCAGAGUGUUCGCCUCUUCUUGCACACAUACUGGAUGCCGUGGUGCUCUUCUCCCAUUGUCUUUUUUCAUCUCUUCCUUCUGCGCGCUUGUGUUGGAGUCUGUCUUGGUGCGCGCGUAGCAUUUCUCUGUCGUGCUGAUCCGCCCCAGAUGAGGGGGUCUGGCUUCCUCCAUGUGAUAGCAUCUCCCCUCUCUCUAUCCUCCGCAGUGUACACCCGCACACUGCCGGACACAUGCGCACACACACACAGACAAACGUAUCAGCACCCGUAGCCGUCACUGUGGAGCGUAGAGGCACGUGCAGAAACGAACUAAACCAAGGAGAAGUCGAUUGCCCCCACCCCCUCCCUCCUUCUCUCUCUCCCGCACGCCCUCUGUUGGCUCAUCGUUGUCUUUUCAUCCUCUCCCCCUUUUUUUCGGCUUUGUGUUUGCCUUGUGCACCGCCUCUUGUUGCCCCUCCUUCUCCCUGCCUCGCGUAGUGAAAAAACAACAGCCGAGAAAGGGAAGGAGAGGGAAGAAGGACAGGUGCUCGUACACGCAUACGCAAUCAGCGCACAGAGCGACAGAGUGACCCAUGAUCCCUUUUCGACUCUGCCUUCUCAGCGUCCCCAGUGGGCGCAGGCG